ensembl:lncRNA
UCUGUUCUCUGGGAGGCAGUUUAAAUACCCUGUUAGAGUGAUAAUGAGCAUUUCUGGGGGAGGGGUCAUCAUUUGUCAGGCUUUCUGAGAUGCAGGAGGAUUUGGGGGCAGAUGUGGGAGGGGGCUUGGGUGGAACCUCCACCAUAACAUCCCAGACUUUUUGGGUAUAUGGAUGCCAGGGGCUGGGGCAGAUCUUUCACCAUAACAGCUUUGUUUUGUUUGUUUUUAAACAUCUACUUAUUUACUUGAGAGCACGUUUGGAGCAGAGGAGAGAUUACUUGUAAAUUCUUGGCUGAAGUCAGUUCCUUCUCUAUUAGUGAAAGGCAGUUCUCUUCCACGAGUCCAGCCUGGCAAUCAAUGAGGUGACAUGUCACAGCCAGAUCGCCCUCAAACCUAUCUCAACUCUGCAACCUGGGCUCCUCCCUGUCUUACAGCAGAUAGAGAGGACCCUAUCAAACCAAAGAUCUGAGCCUGUUGGGCUUGAAGUCAGACUCUGAAGUGCCUGUCCUGUGCCUACCCCCCUGCAUUUGGGCCAUGAGCAGCAAAGCAUACAAGACCCCUGGGUCUUGGUCACAGUUCGAAUUUUCAUUCUUAGCACUGCUACAGUAAGGACAUUCAGACACUUCUGAAAUGAUGGCUCAUUUGAAAUUAACCUUUUCCAGAACUGAAAGAUUUACAAAAACUAUACAAACACAGGAACAAGGUGGACAACAAGCCCAAUCUAAAAGCCAGGAAAAAGAAAGAAAGAAAAAGAAAGAAAGAAAGAAAGAAAGAAAGAAGAGAAAGAAAGAGAGGAAACUGCACCAUUUGUCAGAUUCAACCAUUGAGGGACAUCACAUUGUGGCCCAUUACGAUGCUAUGUACUUGAAGGCCAAUUAGAAGUCAUUAGAGUUAUGAGAAGGUGCUAAUAAAAUAGGCUUGUGCAAAAUAAUGCAUUACUUACUGAGGCCUGAGUUAAACUCAUGGAUGUCUUGUGGAAAUUGAAAAUCAUACUUGAUUGCUUCUACAAAUAUUUUAUUACAUUUUGUUACAUCUUUUGUGAUGAGUGUGUGUACCAUAGCACUAAUGUGGAAGUCAAAGGACAGAUUGUGGGAAUUGGUUCUCUACUUCUGCCAUGUGGGUUGAUAGGAUGGAAUUUACAUCAUCAGGCUAGAAGAUGGCAGGAGCCUUCAUCUGCUGAGCCAACUCAGCAGCUCCAUACGCAAUGCAAAAUUCACAUGAAGUAAUGUUCCUGUGAAUUUCAGACAAAUGAUCUUCCAGAUGUUUCUCUGUGUAGCUCUGGUUGUCCUGGAACUAGCUCUGUAGACCAUGCUGGCUUUGAACUCCGAGACCUACUUGUCUCUGCCUCUUGAGUACUGGGAUUAAGGGCCUGUGCUACCACCUGAAAUAUUUAAACUCAUAACCCAUUAUCUGCUAGGCAAGUGCUGUACCAGAGCUAUAGUCUCAACCUUUUUUAUUCAUUUACUUUUGUUUAGAUUUUAGUUUUUAUUUUCUAUGUGAGAAGCUUAAGGUUUAUAAAUUUUAUCCUGCUCUAAUUUUUGUUUAGAUUUUAGUUUUUACUGUUUUAAAUUAUGUAUGUGUGGGCUGAAGAGAUGGCUCAGAAGUUAAAAAGCACUGACUGCUCUUCCAGAGAACCCAGGUUCAAUUCCCAGCACCCACAUGGCAGCUCAUGUGUGUAACUCCAAGAGCUGACACCCUCACAUAGACAUACAUGCAGGCAAAACACCAAUGCAUAUAGAAUAAAAAUAAAUUAAAAAAAAUUUUGUGUGUAGACACCUGGAGCGGCCAGAGACAUCAGAUCUCUUGUAUCUGGAGUUACCAGUUGUAAGCCACAUGUCAUGAGUGUUAGGAACUGAAAUUGGGGGUGGUGGUAGUGCAUGCCUUUAAUCCCAGGCCAGCAUGGUCUACAAAGUGAGUUCCAGGACAGCCUGGUCUACACAGAGAAACCAUGUCUUGAAAAACAAAAACAAAAAGCAAAACAAGCAAACAAAAAACUUUGGGGGCUGGAGAGAUGGCUUAGAGGUUAAGAGUACUAGCUGCUAUUCUAGAGGACCCAGGUUGAAUUCCCAGCACCCACAUGGUAGCUCAGAAUUGUCUUUAACUGCAGUUGAUCCCACACUGUCACACAGACAUAUAUGCUGGCAAAACACCAAUGCACAUGUAAUUAAAAAUAAAUAUUAAAAAACAAGAAAGAGUUGGGCGUUGGUGGCACACACCUUUAAUCCCAACACUUGGGAGGCAGAAGCAGGUGGAUCUCUGUGAGUUCAAGGCCAGCCUGGUCUACAAGCGCUAGUUACAGGACAGCCUCCAAAGCCACAGAGAAAACCUGUAUCGAAAAAAAAAAAAAAAGAAAGAAAUUGAAAUUGAGUCAUUUGUAGUGUGUGUUCUUAUUAAUCCCUGGAGGCAUCUCUCUAAUCCCUUGUUUGUUUCUUUUGAGACAGGGUUUCUCUAUGUAUUCCACAAUCCCCUGGAAUGCACUAUGUAGCUAAUAAUGCUCUUAAGUUCACGUCCUCCUACUUUAGUUUCUUCGUUUCCUUUUUUAAUUUUUUUUUUUUUGAGACAGGUUUUCUCUUUGUAGCCCUGCUGUCCUGGAACUUGCUCUGUACACCAAGCUGGCCUUAAACUCAUAUAUCCACUUGCCUCUGCCUCACAAAUUCUGGGAUUAAGGCAGGUAGCACCACCACUUGGCUUGUUUCCUUAUUUUUAAUGUGCUUACCAAUUUUCCCAAAGCUGCCUUGCUUCUGUCCAAUCCAUAGCUGUUUCCAUAUUUCAAUAUUAUAUAGUUUUUAUGUUCUAUGUGAGAAGCUUAAGGUUUAUAAAUUUUAUCCUGCUCAAGAAACCUUUAUAGUCAUUCAUUGUAAAAAUCUUAAUCUAGGACUCUGGAGGCAGCUCAAUUGGUAGAGCACUUGCCUGGCAUGUGCGAGAGCCUGGGUUCCACCCCCAGAAACCAAGGGUGAUAGAGCAUUAUCUGUAAUCCCAGCUUGCCAGUGGUAAAAGUGGGAGGUUCAGAAGUUCAAACUUAUCGUUGGCCAUACCGUAAGUUCAAGAUGAGCCCAGGACACACCAGACCCUGUCUCAAAAGAAAAAAAGAAAAGAAAAGAAAAGAAAAAAGAAGAAAAAGAAAGAAAGGAAGGAAAGAAAGAAAGAAAAAAAGUUGUAUCUGUGUAAUUACAACUUGACUUGUAAAAAUUUAAGCUAUUCCUGAACUCGAAGCAAUUUCGUCAACACACACUGGGCGAUAAGGUAAUUUCCUGAAAUGCAGUGUUUUGCUGUUCUAUGCACAGGUACAAGAUCACCAUCCACAAUCUUCCCUUGCUCCUUUCCCGAAAGCUCCUGCCAACCACUGUUCAGCGUUUUUGACUCUGAAUGUGGGAAUGCCCUACCAGUGUAGCCACACAGUUUACAUCUGUUUCUGGCUCAUUUCAUCUGGAGGAAGAUUCUCAAAGCCCCUCAUAUCUCCUUCUCUUAGAGGCUGAGUAGCUUUCCAGCGUCUGCCCACACACAAUAUGCUUAUCUGCCAUCAAGAGACAUUUGCUUCCACGUUCUCGCUACGGCAAUCCUAAUGGACACGAGGUGGUGGCAUCUCAAUGUGACUUGGGCUAUAGUCCUUUAAAGGUUAGCAGUUCUGAGCGUUAAUGAGCUAAUUACUCAUGUGUGUGUCUUCUUUGCCAAAAUGACAAAACUCUUGCCUGUUUGUGAUUGAAUUGUUAUUAUAGGUGUUUGUAAGAUUUAUAUUUUGAAACCCUAAUCCCUUGUGUGACUCUUUCUGUAGAUGGGUUUAUAAGUAAUUAAGGCUAAUGAAGCCACAAGGUAGCUGAAGGGACUAGUGUUCUUACAGGAAGACAGAGAGUGCUCUCUUCCUCUGUCUUCUUCCCCUCCUCCUUCUGAGUACAAAUGAAGGGUCAUGUGAGGACACAGGGAGCAGGCAGCUGUCCGAAAGCCAGGAGAGAGAGAGAGAGAGGGAGGGAGGGAGGAAGGGAGAGAGAAAGAGAGAGGCCACCAGAAACCAAACUUGUAAAACUUAAUUCUGGAUUUCUAGCCACUAAAACUAAGAACACAAAUUUCUGUUGUGUUUAAGUCAUCUAUCUGUCCGUGGUAUUUUGUUAUGGUGAACAUAAGCAGACUAACAUAUUCAUAAGAGAGAAAAAAUUAUGAAAAACUAAUCCACACAAACCCUUUUGAUCUGAGGAAAUUACUAUUAAGACUAGAAAAAGGUGUUCUGGUUGGUGGCACAUGCCUUUAAUCCCAGCACUUUGGAGGCAGAGGCAGGCAUAUUUCUGUGUGUUCAGGGCAGACUGGUCUACUUGGUGAGUUCCAGGCCAGCCAGUUAUGUAUAGUGAGACCCUGUCUAAAAACAAACUAACAAGAAUAGAAAAGGCUGGGUAUAAUAGCUUAUACCUAUAUGUCUUUGGACUCAAGAGGCUGAAGUGGGAGUAUAGUAAGUUUGGUAUCAGAGAAAACAGUGAGAUUCAAGGACGUCUAUGAAGAAAAAUAAAGGUGAUUCUCUCCCCACCACACAGUGGAGGCACCCUCCUGGACCCCAGAUUAGGCACAAACCACACACAAAUACCUGUUUCCCAGAGACAGCCUUUAUUAAGGAGAUGGGAAGAGUUAAAGUGGUUGCUUUCUGACUCAGGCAGAAAAGCAAAACAAAUGAUCUUGCAGGUAUAUAUUUUUUUUUUCCAGACAGGGUUUCUCUGUGUAGCUUUGGAGCUUAUCCUGGCCCUCGCUCUGGAGACCAGGCUGGCCUCAAACUCAGAGAUCCGCCUGCCUCUGCCUCCUGAGUGCUGGGAUUAAAGGCGUGCCCCACCAACACCCGGCGCAGGCAUAAUUUUUAACAAACUUUUAAAAAAAGAUUUUAUUUAUUUAUUAUGUAUACAACAUUCUCCUUCCAUGUAUAUCUGCACACCAUAAGAGGGCACCAGAUCUCAUAAUGGAUGGUGUAAGCCACCAUGAGGUUGCUGGGAAUUGAACUCAGUAUCUCUGGAAGAGCAGUUGGUGCUCUUAACCUCUGAGCUAUCUCUCCAGCCCCCCCAAACAUUUUUUAAAUUUAUUUUUAUUUAUGUGUGUGUCCCACAGAGGCUGGAAGAGGGCACCAGAUCACCUGGAGCUGGAAUUACAGACAGUUGUGAACUGCCAUGUGGGUGCUGGUAAUUGAACCCUGGUGCUCUGGAAGAGUAGCCAUUGCUCUUAACUGCUGAGCCAUCAUCUCGCCAGCCCUGCAGGUGUAAUUUUUAAGAAGAGAAAAAACCAGGAAGUCUGUGUUAGAAAUCUGUGCUGUGGUGUGUUUUGAUUGGGCUUUUGAUGGCUGGACUUUAAUACUUUGAUAGAUGGACCUUGGUAGUCAGUCUGAGGAGAAGAAGUGGCAGCUAGCUUUGGGAAUGUAAUCUAACAGUUUUUUUUUUUUUUUCUUUUGCAAGGCAGAGGGAAUAGGAGAGAAAAGCAGGACUUGCCAGAAUCAUGCUUGCUCUGCUAGAGCUGGCCAGAAUCCCUUCAACAAACAAACAAACAAACAAACAAAAAACAAAUAAACAAAAAAAAUGUGAGAAAACAGUCACAAAUCCCCAAAGGAAUAUUUUAUAGAAUACAGAACACUUUAAAUCAGUAAUAAAUAUAGGGGAGGGGGGAAGAGAGUUGAAUGGGCAUUUCUCCCAAGCCAAAAAAAAAAAAAAAAAAAGCUCAUUAUUAAACAUUAGAAGGCAAAUUUAAACCAAAUUGAAAAACUGCUACAAGCCUAUUGUAAUGGAUCAAAUGUAAAAGGAAGUAAUAAUGAUGUUAUUGAGUGCAAGUAAAAAUGUAGGACUUGGGUCAGCAAGAUGGCUUAAAAGGUGCUUGCCGAGCAACCUGAGUUUGAUCUCGGGAACCCAUGGUGGCGAGAACCUACCCUAAAAGUUGUUCUCUGACCUCUACAAGCCUGUAUGUGUGCACCCAAGCACACACACACACACACACACACACACACACACACACUUAAUAGUAAUAAUAAAAUUAAAGUUAACAAAAAAGAUGCAGAGUUUAGCUGGGUAUACCAGCAUAUACCUAUAAUUACAGCUCUUGGGAGACAGAGACAGGAAGACCGAGAGUUCAGUACCAGUUUGGGCUAUGUGAAACUUGUCAUAAAACAAACAGACAGACAUACAAACAUAUAGCAAUAAAUACAAAGAGCCUUAGCUUUCCUGGAAUUUCAGUGCUGAUAGAAUGCAAAAUGGUACAGCCACUUUGUAAUAUAUAUAAAAGGAACAUCCAGACUGAUUUCUGUUUUAUUAUUAUUAAAUUUAUAAUUAAAUAACUUAUUAAAAUAUUAAAUAAAAUUAUAGAGUGUGUGUGUGUGUGUGUGUGUUAUUUUAACAGGGUCUCUAUUCUGUAGCUCUGGCUUUCCUGGAACUCAAUAUUUAGAACAGGCCAGCCUUGAACUCACAGAGAUCCACCUGCAUCUGCCUCCUGUGUGUUGGAAUGAAAGUCUUGCACUACCACACUGGCAUUUUUAUUACUAUUGUGCAUGGCGGGGUGAGGAGAUCACCAGCCCCUAACAAUGGCUCCGGACAGUUUCUUACAGUGUUAUACACUUACUUAUGAGGCCCAGUGUUUCCACUUACUCCUUGUAAACCUUGGAGAAUGGAGACAUUCAAUAUUUACGGGUGGAAAUCACACACACAUAUAUGAG